GACGUAGGGUGCAAGCGUUGUUCGGAUUCAUUGGGCGUAAAGGGUGCGUAGGUGGCGCUGUAAGUCGGGUGUGAAAUUUCGGAGCUUAACUCCGAAACUGCAUUCGAUACUGCGGUGCUUGAGGACUGGAGAGGAGACUGGAAUUCAUGGUGUAGCAGUGAAAUGCGUAGAGAUCAUGAGGAAGACCAGUGGCGAAGGCGGGUCUCUGGACAGUUCCUGACACUGAGGCACGAAGGCCAGGGGAGCAAACGGG
rnacentral:rRNA from 1 species